UUUCAGAUGCUUUACAUUAAAAUACAUCCAUGUGACAUACACAAUUAUAUAUACAUUGUAGAUCCAAAUUUAAAAAGCUAUUUUUUUCAAUAUUUAAAUAAUGUAGGAUCAAAUCUUGAUACAUGUAUGUAGUUGAAAUUGUUAGCUUUAAACAUUAAAAAAUGAACACCCAAAGUUUAAACAUAAGAAUGACCAUGCAGUCU
rnacentral:lncRNA from 1 species